rnacentral:sRNA from 21 species
AAUGGUUACUGAUACCGAACACGGGCGUCGAGGAAACUCCACGCCCGUGUCGGCAUGUUAAGGGUAAAAUAAAUGGC